rnacentral:lncRNA from 1 species
UGACGACCAGUGCAAGAAUCAGUUUUUCGAGCUUGAAGUAUCUGAUUUCCACAUCAUGAAGGACUUUGCUAGUGUAGUAUAUGAGCUUCUAAACCCAUCCUUCUUUUCGGAUAAGGACUAAUCUGAUCGUCAUUGGAGAAAUGGCGAUAUAUAAUAGCAACUCCUCACUAGGCUAGAGCUUCGAGAGCAAUGGUGGAGAGCUAAGAUACUGCUUCAAUUCCUCAAACAUCUUCUGGCAUUUGAUAGUCUAUUGAAAAUCUUUUGACUGUCUGAGGGUCUGAAAGAAAGGGAGACACCU